GGGGAUGUGGCUCAAGCGGUAGUGCGCUCGCUUGGUAUGCGAGUGGCCCGGGUUCGAUCCUCAGCACCA
rnacentral:tRNA from 1 species